rnacentral:misc_RNA from 1 species
CGCAUCUUGCGCUUGCUGGUAUUCCGGCAAGCAUUCCUGUUUGAGUGUCAUGAAACUUAUCAACCGUGACUUGGGUUUAGGCCCCUGGCUCGGCUUGGUUUUGGGUGCUUGCGGCCUUGUGCUGCUCACCUUAAAAGGAUUAGCUGGACAAGUCGUGAGACUUGGUUCUACUUGGCGUAAUAAGUAUUUCGCUGAGGACAUCCCCUCGUGGGGUGGCCAAGACUCUAGUGCAAACGUCUGCUUUCUAACCCGAUUGUCCUCGGACAUCACUUUUUAUGAUCUGGCCUCAAAUCAGGUAGGACUACCCGCUGAACUUAA